UCACUUUCUCAAUUUUUCAAAAAGUACUUUGUUUUACCCAAAAAAAAAUUCCCUUGGCCAAAGAGGCUCUACAUCGGCUUCUACAUCCCCAAUUUCCAUCAGCUCUCUCAAUCUAUCCAACGUAGAAGGUGUGUCUUCUUUGCUGUCCGGUCAAACCCAUAUAAUGCAUGCGAUUUCUAAUAAUCCAUUAGUUCGAGUACGGAUCUACGAUUGAGCUAAUGAUUUAUCUUUGCUGAGAAGUUUGAUUUUUGAGUACUGCUUCUAUUUAAUUUCGUGAAUUUUGAGGUGAUUCAGGUGAAAGGUUAGACUACUGCAAUGAAGAUAAUGUAAUUUAAAAAUUCAUUCCUCUUCCUCAUGCUCACUGCAAAUUGACUAGUCUUCCUCUUUAAUUGUAAACUUCAAAAGAUUCUUCAAUUUUGAUGCAUACAUUAAGUCCACCUCCAUCCCACAAAUCUCUCCUUGUUUACUCAUAAAACGGUACAGUUGAAUUUAUACGUGGUUUCUAGACAAGUGCACUAAUUUGACCCAGAAAUAAUAAAGCAAUUGAAGAAUAAUAUGAUACUUUCCGGGAACUAGCUUUUCGGGCGCAAGCUUCCGAGAAAGUAGGUAAAAUAGCAGAAAUAACGAUUCCGGGAAUUAACUAUCCGGGCGCAGCAAUGAUGAGAUCAAAAGCAAGAAAGUAAAUGAUAUUAAGCUUUGUAUAGAAUAUAAUAUAAAUUUGUCAGAAAAUUCGUAUCUUUUACGGUGAUAAUUGAGCUCUCUAUUUAUAGCUAUGUCUUGGGAAGGAGGUCCUAGGAUCGUGCCCUCCUUUAAUGUCAAUUAUGAGGGCCAUUAAUGAAGGUGUAACGGUGUAAAUAAAUGUCAAAUUCCUUAUAACGGGCAACCGUUCUUAAUACUAUAAAAUAUUCUCUAUUAAAUACUACCGGAUGCAAAACAUUUAAUACACCUUUAUGAACAUUCUCUCCCGAUGACAAGCGAAAUAGCUCCGUUCGGUGACCAUCUCCAUCUUGGAUUCCAUGUGUCCUUUCUUUAGGUGACCACGUGUCAUAUCAUAUUUUCCCUAUACACUCCCCCUACAUGAACUUUGAGAAAAAGAAAUGCGAAGGUUCGUUUGAACAUUGCUCGCCUUUAUGGGAUAUUAGCAAAACCAAAUAACCAGGAAACAUUCGGAAUAUUCAUGGAUCAUUGAAAGAUAAAAAAAUCUAACAAAUCAAAAACAAAAACUUAAGGGAAAAAAAUUCGAAGGAUAAAGAUGUAGAAAUAACUAGGCUGGGAAAGAAGAUUGCAGUGAAGCAACUGUUUGCUUGAUCCAAUAUCUGCAAUGAUUUCUUGCUUAGUUUGGUUCUUUUACUAUACAUGUUGCGUGUCUCACUUCUCGAUUUGUUACCAAGGCCAUUCCAAGUUGUCCUCUAGUUCUGCCAAGGCAGCUUCCUCAGUGUAGUUCUCCUCAUCGAAAUCAAAAUCGCUAUCAUCUUCUGCUCCUGCAUCUUUGGUACCAAAUUUGUCACCAAUCAGUAAGAAGAAAAUAGUAUAUGGUUAGUCUGAGAAACAGAAAGCUAAAUAAAUCUUAAACCUGUAGUUCUGUGCACAAAAUCCUCAAACAAGUUCUCGUACAAGAUCGACCUCACAGCUGCAUGUUCAUUGGAUUUAGGCAAAAAGUAGUCUGGGUGAGAAAAGUAGUAAUGACGAGCUGCAACCUGAUAUAUAGGCAUAUAACUUCCCAUGACACACUGCUCUUGCAUAGAACUGCUUGGAUACCGAUGUUGGAUUGCUAGCUCUUUUGAUUCACUAGUUGAUGUUAAGUGCUGGUCUGUUUCUGGUCUGUCACAUUCAAUGCUGGCUCCAAACUCUUUCAUUUGAAAAGUAUAACUCCAACCAAGUACUGAGACGUUAAUCUCGUCACCAGCUUGUAUAUACUUUCCAAAUUUCCAGUGGCAUAAAAAUGUCAGAUCUUCAUUUGAUCCUGGAAUGCCUAUGAAUGUUGGAGCGUAAAUCCACUUGUCACCGCUGAUCACAUUACUUAGUUUGAUGAAAAAGGAAUACCAGUUCCCAAAUUGGUUUUCACCCCAGCGUUGAAAUCGAUGACGAGUGGAACGUGAAUAUACAAUGCAGAUAUUAAGUCCUAUUAUCUUUGUAUUAGUAUGAGAAUCAACUUUCAGAGUCAAUAUGCUUUCUUCACCCUUGUUGCUGAACCAACUUGGAAUGUCACUUCCAGGAAAGUAUGUGCUGAAGAUUCCAAACUCGUAGAGUCCCUAAAGGAAAAAAAAGAUAAAGCAUGAUAAACUUGCCAUAGGAGUUGUCUUUUUUUCUUUUGUAUUUGUUUCUGUCGUACUUUGUAGAGAUGGACUCUAGUAGAUAAGAAUGCUUAAGUCUCAGAUGAAAGUCAUGCUAAUAAAAAACGCGUAUACCUGCACAGAAUAUUUCCUCUUUGUGUCUGUAAGCCUAUUGAAUAGUUCUACCUCUGCAUUUUCUAUAUCUUCCAGGUUGAGAUGGCUUAAAAUGUUCAACAUUUCCCCCUUAAAGUUACCGACUGGCUCUAACUUGAACAGUCCAGGAAUCUCAGUUAGUUUCUCGCUGCCUCUAACAUCCAAGAGUAGAGUUUGAGUUUCCCAUAGGUUUGGCAGAUUUGUAACUCUUUCUAAUGAUGUGCAGUCUAUAGCCUUCAGCUUGAUGAGGCUCGGAGGUAGCUUGGGAAGCGAUUGGAGGCUUGGGCAUGCAUCUAGCCAAAGUUCCUGAAGCAUAUUUAGAUUUGUGAUAUUUUGUGGCAGGUUACAAAUCAGGUUUUCGCUUAGAUUCAAGUGCCUUAACGAGGAAAGAUUGCAAAGACCAAGGGAUAGAAAAUCAUCUGUUAGCCUGCAUUUUGCAAGACUCAAGCUAACCAGGGAACUUGAUAAAGAAGACAAGGAGAAGUUGUUAUAAUCUGGAGAUUUUCGUAAUCUUGAUGACCAAGAUUGCCAGAGCUCAGUCCAUGAUUUCUCCUGAUUGUAACUUAUUUCAUCUGCUUUGAGCGUUGUUAAGAAUUCCAGCUUUCCUAAUUCCAUUGUUGAUAUAGAAAGUCUAGAGCAGCCAGAAAUGAUAAGUGUUUCCAAGGAC
rnacentral:lncRNA from 1 species